CAGUCGCCACGGGAAUACGAAGGGUGCAAGCGUUAAUCGGAAUUACUGGGCGUAAAGCGUGCGUAGGCGGUGAGUUAAGUCUGCUGUGAAAUCCCCGGGCUCAACCUGGGAACUGCAUUUGUGACUGGCAAGCUAGAGUGUGGCAGAGGGGGGUGGAAUUCCGCGUGUAGCAGUGAAAUGCGUAGAUAUGCGGAGGAACACCGAUGGCGAAGGCAGCCCCCUGGGCCAACACUGACGCUCAUGCACGAAAGCGUGGGGAGCAAACAGGAUUAGAUACCCCAGUAGUCCCUGUCUCUUAUAU
rnacentral:rRNA from 1 species